CGGGGCGUAGCGCAGUCUGGUAGCGCGCAUGUUUUGGGUACAUGAGGCCCCGAGUUCGAAUCUCGGCGCCCCGACCA
rnacentral:tRNA from 1 species